CCAUCUGCUGAAGAAGGGAUGGCUUUCCAAAGGGCGUCAGCUCUUUGGCGUCCUUGUAUCCAUGUUGCUUCACAAGAGGAUAUGGCUAUGAGAA
rnacentral:sRNA from 1 species